UACUGAGGGGGCAAGCGUUGUUCGGAAUUACUGGGCGUAAAGGGCGCGUAGGCGGCCGGCUAGGUCGAACGUGAAAUCCCCGGGCUCAACCCGGGAACUGCGUUCGAUACUGGCGGGCUUGAAUCCGGGAGAGGGAUGCGGAAUUCCAGGUGUAGCGGUGAAAUGCGUAGAUAUCUUGAGGAACACCGGUGGCGAAGGCGGCAUCCUGGACCGGCAUUGACGCUGAGGCGCGAAAGCCAGGGGAGCAAACGGG
rnacentral:misc_RNA from 1 species